rnacentral:tRNA from 1 species
CUUCCGUCCCAGAGCAUAUCCAAUCUCAAAAAUGUUUUGAACAAAUAUCAAAAUAUUAUUAUUAAAUAGACA